UCAGAAUACUUUUUGUAUAUUUUUAACUAUUUUUAGUACAUUAUGCAAUAUCUACAAUUAGAGAAAAGCAAAAAUCCUUCACAAAAAAAACAACAACAAAAAAUCUGUCAAAUGAGGGAAAAAAAUCUAGCUGUAAAAAAACAUACUGUAAAGAUAUAAGCCGUCAGUUCUGUGUUAUUGUGUAAUCUUGGGUAACAAUUAUAAAAACAAUGCCAAUGUUCACAUAUUGAAAUGUGAAAAGAAGAAAAAGAGGGCCUCGCUUUACCCUGGCUUGGAUAGGAGGAUAAUAUAUUUUUGAGGCUCAAAGGUGCUCUGCUCGCUUGGCAGCCCAGUCAGACAUGAACGAGCAGGGCCAGAGGGGCUGUGUUCUCUCUGCGUCUCCCAGCCCGACGGACAGCACCACCACAGUGCUGAGCACAGGAUGCCAGCACUGUCUUCUGGCACUUCCCGGGGCUUGUGCCGACUCAGCGUGGUCACAGACUUACUCAGCAGCCACACCUUUACAGCAGACUCACUCACACAGAAAACACUCACACACGCAUCCAUAACAGCACACGCUCCAAGAUCCUGGCCUGUUCCACUCGUCACCGGCUGACGGCUGCACUCCAGCGCGAGCGAUGCUAAUUAAAGUCCACCCACAGUAUGAUUCACUGGGCACUGAGGUACCGAAUGGAGCUACACAGAGAAAUAUUAGUGCCUCUGUACCUCCUUCCUCUGUUUGGCUCUCUUAAUAUAAUUAUUUCAAGACAAAUACUUACCUCACUUGUCAAAACAUUAAUUACAGCACAGGUCAGGUGAGGAAAUGACAGAAACAUCAUCUGCGGGUCUGGUGAAGUUUUGCAAGGAAUCCAGAAGAUGGCAACCUAUCUCUGAUGCACAUGUCUGAUAGACCUAUUUAGGUAUUUAUUAAAGCAUCAGUCAUCGUUUUCCAAGUUUUAUGGCGAUACUGGAGGGUGAUGCUCAGGUAAACAUUGCUAAUAAUGUUACCUAGAACCUCAUAAAAUAAUUUCUUUGAUCGACUUCUUUCAGAAGGCUCACGGGUACAUCUCUACUUGACAGGUAGAGUGCACUGAAAUCUUCCUUCAUACAUGUUUAAAUGCUAAAAUAGCCUUAGGAUUAACUUCAUAAUAUCUAAAUAAAGACUGCCUAGUGCUAGUAUUAUUAAAAACUGAAUGCUAAAGCAGUUCCAGAUUUAUCAUGGUAAACAACUUAACAUUUGAUAUCAACAGAGAUCUGCCUGCUCAUGUUUAGCUUAUUCCAUGAGCGGCGUGAACAUGCAAUCAUAACGCAUUGGCCGUCCAGGGAAUUGAGAGAUUACUGGCCAGAUAAAAGCUGCUUGCUGAUGUGAACUUGAACCAGAUUGAAAGAAUCGAAUAGGAGACCUCCACCGGUCACUGGUUACUUCUCCAAUAAACCGUUUCCAAGUCAAAGAUGUAAUCGUCAGAAGAGAGUGCAAAGAAAAAGGCACUGAGCAUUGAGCCAAGAGAAGGACGGUGACUUUGCUCUACACUGUUGAAUAGCCACUUGGGAUCGCAGGCCGAGUGAAACGCAACACCAUAAGACUUGACCAAAUUAGAAUGAAGAUUUACUCUGCUGGAGUCUCUUUGCAUCAAGACACUCUGGAUUAAAAGCACGCUGGAGAUGCAGCCCACCAGGGAUGGAGUGCUAGAGGGAAAGCAGCGCUCAUUAAAAUACACUCGAGGACAACAUUGAGCAGAAAACAAAAGAAUUAGAAAUAGAUGGUCCUGUUUAAAAAAGACUAGCUCAGACCACCACAAAUUCCAGGGCUUUUGCAGCUGGUGAACUAGAAUAGCCAGCCUGUUAAUCAGGAAAAUAUUAAAUAAAAUGUAAAAAUAUA